rnacentral:rRNA from 1 species
CAGGACGAACGCUGGCGGCGUGCCUAAUACAUGCAAGUCGAACGGUCUUUCUAUGGAAGCUUGCUUCCACUGAGAAGAUAGUGGCGAACGGGUGAGUAACACGUGGGUAACCUGCCCAUAAGAGGGGGAUAACAUCCGGAAACGGGUGCUAAUACCGCAUAGUUUUCUUGAUCGCAUGAUCGGGAAAGGAAAGACGGCCUUUGUGCUGUCGCUUAUGGAUGGACCCGCGGCGUAUUAGUUAGUUGGUGAGGUAACGGCUCACCAAGACGAUGAUACGUAGCCGACCUGAGAGGGUGAUCGGCCACAUUGGGACUGAGACACGGCCCAAACUCCUACGGGAGGCAGCAGUAGGGAAUCUUCCGCAAUGGACGAAAGUCUGACGGAGCAACGCCGCGUGAGUGAAGAAAGGUUUUUCGGAUCGUAAAACUCUGUUGUCAGAGAAGAACAAGUUGGAGAGUAACUGCUCCAGCCUUGACGGUAUCUGACCAGAAAGCCACGGCUAACUACGUGCCAGCCGCUGC